CCCGAACCUCCAACAUGUCUGGUCACUCCUGCGAAUGUUACCAGAGUUUGUUCAGGAGUCAACAGUAACGAGACUCUCCUAUCCGCUGCACUCGUGAGCGCCCCCUGUAGUGUGGACCUGCAGCAGUACGUUUGCUCUUCGCUCACCGGCAUCACUGCUGGAAACCUGGCUGGAC